rnacentral:antisense_RNA from 1 species
UUAGGCGGAGUCUCGCCCUGUCGCCCAGGCUGGACCAGGAGGCAGGAGCCCCAUGCAGUCCUGUGCUGAUGAAGACCCAUUUUUUUCUAGGAGAUUUACACUUUCAUAUGUAUCCCCUGUGACCAGCCCACACACCUGGCUGAGAGAUGGCUCUGCAGGGAGGGAGUCAGCAGGAGGGGAGGGGAGGGAAGAGGAGGGGAGGGAAGAGGAGGGGAGGAAAGAUAUCUUGGGAGGCCAAGGAAAGAAAAGUGAAGAAACCACCUAAGAGGGCAAAUGCAGGGCUCAGUGGGAGGGGCCCAAAGAUGUCCUGAGGAGCCCUGGUGGCAUCUGCCUUGACACCAGGCCCACUGCAGACAGUCGCAAUUUCAUCCAUCCAUUCAUCUAUCAGAUACUGACUGAGGGCCUACUAGGUACCAGGCCCUGAGGAUACAGCCCUGAACAAAGCAGAUAACAGUCCCUG